GAUUGAACAAAAGAGUUUGAUCCUGGCUCAGAUUGAACGCUGGCGGCAUGCUUUACACAUGCAAGUCGAACGGGGUUGGGAGCUUGCUUCCAAUCUAGUGGCGAACGGGUGAGUAAUACAUCGGAACGUACCGUGUAGUGGGGGAUAACGUAGCGAAAGUUACGCUAAUACCGCAUACGAUCCACGGAUGAAAGCAGGGGACCUUCGGGCCUUGUGCUAUACGAGCGGCCGAUGUCUGAUUAGCUAGUUGGUGAGGUAAAGGCUCACCAAGGCGACGAUCAGUAGCGGGUCUGAGAGGAUGAUCCGCCACACUGGGACUGAGACACGGCCCAGACUCCUACGGGAGGCAGCAGUGGGGAAUUUUGGACAAUGGGCGCAAGCCUGAUCCAGCCAUGCCGCGUGUCUGAAGAAGGCCUCGGUUGUAAGGACUUUGUCGUAGGAGGCAAAACUUACUAGGUUAAUACCUAGGUGUAGGUU
rnacentral:rRNA from 1 species